GCCCCUGUAGUUAAGUGGAUAUAACAGGCCCGUCCUAAGGGCUAGUCGUGGGUUCGAUUCCUGCCGGGGGCACCA
rnacentral:tRNA from 1 species